GCAAACUUGGUCAUUUAGAGGAAGUAAAAGUCGUAACAAGGUCUCCGUAGGUGAACCUGCGGAGGGAUCAUUAACGAAUGGUCUUGGUACCUUCAAAACCCCUCAAACCAGUGGACAUGAAAAAUGUGCUUCGGCGCUCCGGCGCCGCUUUUAUGCUGUAAUUCUGUCGUUUGUGUCUGAAUACAAAACAAAGAAUUAAAACUUUCAACAAAGGAUCUCUUGGCUCUCUAGAGGAAGUAAAAGUCGUAACAAGGUCUCCGUAGGUGAACCUGCGGAGGGAUCAUUAACGAAUGGUCUUGGUACCUUCAAAACCCCUCAAACCAGUGGACAUGAAAAAUGUGCUUCGGCGCUCCGGCGCCGCUUUUAUGCUGUAAUUCUGUCGUUUGUGUCUGAAUACAAAACAAAGAAUUAAAACUUUCAACAAAGGAUCUCUUGGCUCUCGCAUCGAUGAAGAACGCAGC
rnacentral:misc_RNA from 1 species